AUUGAACGCUAGCGGCAGGCUUAACACAUGCAAGUCGAACGAGUGGCGGACGGGUGAGUAAUAUUUGGGAAUCUAGCCUAUGGAGGGGGAUAACUACGGGAAACUGUGGCUAAUACCGCAUACAAUUGGAUGGGCCCAAGUGGGAUUAGGUAGUUGGUGGGGUAAAGGCUCACCAAGCCGACGAUCCCUAGCUGGUCUGAGAGGAGGACCAGCCACACUGGGACUGAGACACGGCCCAGACUCUGACGGGAGGCCGCAGUGGGGAAUAUUGCGCAAUGGGGGCAACCUGACGCAGCCAUGCCGCGUGAAUGAAGAAGGCCUUCGGGUUGUAAAGUUCUUUCGGUAGCGAGGCGUUAACUACAGAAGAAGCACCGGCUAACUCCGUGCCAGCAGCCGCGGUAAUAC
rnacentral:rRNA from 1 species